rnacentral:tRNA from 1 species
GCUUGAAAAAAAUACUGGCUGUAAACCAGUUAACGAUUUUUUAAUAAUCUUCAACGCA